ACGGGUGAGUAAUACAUCGGAACGUGCCCUGUAGUGGGGGAUAACUAGUCGAAAGAUUAGCUAAUACCGCAUACGACCUGAGGGUGAAAGUGGGGGACCGCAAGGCCUCAUGCUAUAGGAGCGGCCGAUGUCUGAUUAGCUAGUUGGUGAGGUAAAGGCUCACCAAGGCGACGAUCAGUAGCUGGUCUGAGAGGACGAUCAGCCACACUGGGACUGAGACACGGCCCAGACUCCUACGGGAGGCAGCAGUGGGGAAUUUUGGACAAUGGGCGAAAGCCUGAUCCAGCAAUGCCGCGUGUGUGAAGAAGGCCUUCGGGUUGUAAAGCACUUUUGUCCGGAAAGAAAUGGCUCUGGUUAAUACCUGGGGUCGAUGACGGUACCGGAAGAAUAAGGACCGGCUAACUACGUGCCAGCAGCCGCGGUAAUACGUAGGGUCCAAGCGUUAAUCGGAAUUACUGGGCGUAAAGCGUGCGCAGGCGGUUGUGCAAGACCGAUGUGAAAUCCCCGAGCUUAACUUGGGAAUUGCAUUGGUGACUGCACGGCUAGAGUGUGUCAGAGGGGGGUAGAAUUCCACGUGU
rnacentral:rRNA from 2 species